rnacentral:rRNA from 1 species
UACGUAGGGUGCAAGCGUUGUCCGGAAUUAUUGGGCGUAAAGAGCUCGUAGGCGGUCUGUCGCGUCUGGUGUGAAAACUCAGGGCUUAACCCUGAGCUUGCAUCGGGUACGGGCAGACUAGAGUGAUGUAGGGGAGACUGGAAUUCCUGGUGUAGCGGUGAAAUGCGCAGAUAUCAGGAGGAACACCAAUGGCGAAGGCAGCUCGCUGGAACGGUACUGACGCUGAGGCGCGAAAGCGUGGGGAGCGAACAGG